GGGAGACGUGCGAAGCGUUCAAGUCGCCCGACAGUAUACUUCGCACGGCGCUCACCACGCGGCGCGUCGAGGCUGGCGACGACGUCAUCGUCAUCGACUACACAGCCAGCGAGGCGACUUAUGCGAGGGACGCACUCUGUAAGGCGCUCUACAGUAGGCUGUUCACGUGGCUCGUGCAGCGAAUCAACGAGAGCAUACGGGUCGAAGAUUUCGGCAAGAGAAAGUGCCUUGGCGUGCUGGACAUCUACGGCUUCGAAGUGUUUGAGGUGAACGGAUACGAGCAGCUAGUGAUUAACUAUUGUAAUGAGAAACUGCAGCAGUUGUUCAUAGAGUUGACCUUGAAAGAGGAGCAGGAUGAAUACAUACGGG